GAGUGCGGCGCGGGGGAGCGCCCCCCCCUGGCUGGGCUGUGCUAGCCCGGGAGCUCCUCCGCUUCCCUCCCUCCCUCCUUCCCUUCUUCCCUCCCUCCUCCCGCCCCUUAGCGCCAGCCCUCGGCUCCGCCUGCGCCGCCGCGCUGCUCGGCUCCGCUGCAGCCCCUCCGGCUGCCCGCCCUAACGGUCUAUAACGGCCACGGGCCCGGAGAACAAGUCCUCUGGCGCGCGCGCCGCCCAAGGGCUCGUGAGGAGGCUAAAGCUAGCUAGGCCCGCGUGCUGCCGCCACGGAGAACCAGAUUCUAUAAUCAAUGGUGGAUCUUCUAAUUAUAUAAGAAGAAAAGGAAAAAAAUAUUCUGAAGAUUAAGGUUCAGUCGUCUCUGAGUGAACUUUUCUACAAGCCUCCUUACUCUGUGGAUUUAGAUGAAAGGAUAUUGAAAAAUCAAGUUUUCACAUAGUUUAAAUAUCCCUGAAUUUACCUUUAUAGAGAGACCAGCCCUUAUUUGUCAUACAGAAGAUGAUUACUCUCUAUUGUAAUCACCAGUGUUAUUGGGGGGGGGGCGGGGAAUCAAGUUAUACUAGACUAUUUAAAAAACUUUUUAUUAUAUGAGCCUUAAAAAUAAAGUCAGUUUU